UGCAAACUGAAGAUGGCGACCGGCGCACGGGUGAGUAACACGUAUCCAACCUGCCGAUAACUCCGGAAUAGCCUUUCGAAAGAAAGAUUAAUACCGGAUGGCAUACGAAUAUCGCAUGAUAUUUUUAUUAAAGAAUUUCGGUUAUCGAUGGGGAUGCGUUCCAUUAGUUUGUUGGCGGGGUAACGGCCCACCAAGACUACGAUGGAUAGGGGUUCUGAGAGGAAGGUCCCCCACAUUGGAACUGAGACACGGUCCAAACUCCUACGGGAGGCAGCAGUGAGGAAUAUUGGUCAAUGGGCGAGAGCCUGAACCAGCCAAGUAGCGUGAAGGAUGAAGGCUCUAUGGGUCGUAAACUUCUUUUAUAUGGGAAUAAAGUAUUCCACGUGUGGAAUUUUGUAUGUACCAUAUGAAUAAGGAUCGGCUAACUCCGUGCCAGCAGCCGCGGUAAUACGGAGGAUCCGAGCGUUAUCCGGAUUUAUUGGGUUUAAAGGGAGCGUAGGUGGAUUGUUAAGUCAGUUGUGAAAGUUUGCGGCUCAACCGUAAAAUUGCAGUUGAAACUGGCAGUCUUGAGUACAGUAGAGGUGGGCGGAAUUCGUGGUGUAGCGGUGAAAUGCUUAGAUAUCACGAAGAACUCCGAUUGCGAAGGCAGCUCACUAGACU
rnacentral:rRNA from 1 species